UUCUCCCCGAAGCCUGAUAUCUAACUCAUCAAUGUCGGAUGUAAUUCCAUUUGAAAUCAUAUAGAAAAUCGAUUGGGGAAAUAUAUACUUUCAUUUUAUCCAAAUGGAUACACCUUUCAGAUCUCGCUUUUGCGUUUUGUUCCUCCUUACUUGUUUAUUAAUUUGUGGUUUCGCUUUUGUUGGAGCUUAAAAUCAAAGGCCGAAGAACGUUCAAGUUGCGAUUCGGGCUAAAUGGUCGGGUACUCCAUUGCUCUUGGAAGCCGGUGAAUUGCUCUCGAAG